rnacentral:rRNA from 1 species
AUGAACGCUGGCGGCGUGCCUAAUACAUGCAAGUCGCGCGAACAGACGAGGAGCUUGCUCCUCUGACGUUAGCGGCGGACGGGUGAGUAACACGUGGAUAACCUACCUAUAAGACUGGGAUAACUUCGGGAAACCGGAGCUAAUACCGGAUAAUAUAUUGAACCGCAUGGUUCAAUAGUGAAAGACGGUUUUGCUGUCACUUAUAGAUGGAUCCGCGCCGCAUUAGCUAGUUGGUAAGGUAACGGCUUACCAAGGCAACGAUGCGUAGCCGACCUGAGAGGGUGAUCGGCCACACUGGAACGGAGACACGGUCCAGACUCCUACGGGAGGCAGCAGUAGGGAAUCUUCCGCAAUGGGCGAAAGCUUGACGGAGCAACGCCGCGUGAGUGAUGAAGGUCUUCGGAUCGUAAAACUCUGUUAUUAGGGAAGAACAAAUGUGUAAGUAACUAUGCACGUCUUGACGGUACCUAAUCAGAAAGCCACGGCUAACUACGUG